GAACGAGGAAGGGUGGGUGAGCAAUUUUUUUAAGGAGGAAAACAUUGUAGUCAAUACCUGCAGUCCUGGACGUUACUUACACAAUACGGGCCGGCUAUUUCCGUGCCAGGACCCGCGGUAAUACUGAAGGUCCAAGCGUUAAUCCGAAUUACUGGGCGUAAAGCGCGCGUAGGUGGUUUUUUAAGUUGGAUGUGAGAGCUCUGGGCUCAACCGAGAAACUGCUUCCCACACUAUAUGACCAGAGUACGAAAGAGGGAAAUAGAAUUCCCAAUGAAGCGAUGGAAUGCGUAGAUAUUGUGAAGAAUAGCAAUGGCAUUGGUAACUACCUGGAUCUGUACUGACACUGCCGGGCUAAAUCGUGGGUAGCAAACGCGAUUACAUACCCUGGGAAUCCACGCCGAUAACCAGGACGACUACCUGUUGGGAGACAACAUCUCUCUGUGGCGAAACUAAAUCUC
rnacentral:rRNA from 1 species